GCCAGGCAUGGUUGUGCAUGCCUGUAAUCCCAGCUACUCAGGAGGCUGAGACAGGAGAAUCACUUGAACCCGGGAGGCAGAAGUUGCAGUGAGCGGAGAUCAAGCCACUGCACUCCAGCCUGGGCGACAGAGUGAGACUCUGUCUCAA
rnacentral:SRP_RNA from 1 species